rnacentral:rRNA from 1 species
AGGGCAAUUCGUGGAUGCCUUGGCGCAUACAGGCGAUGAAGGACGUGGCACGCUGCGAUAAGCGUCGGUGAGGUGUGAGCAACCUUUGACCCGACGAUUUCCGAAUGGGGAAACCCACCUGAUCCGAUUAUCUCGACCGCCAGCAAUGACGUUCGGGGUAAUUGGAAAAAGGUAUCACUUAGCUGAAUAAAAUAGGCUUCGUGAAGCGAACCCGGAGAACUGAAACAUCUCAGUACCCGGAGGAAAAGACAUCAACCGAGAUUCCGUUAGUAGUGGCGAGCGAACGCGGACCAGGCCAGUGCUUCUAAUUCAACUAGCAGAACGUUCUGGAAAGGACGGCCAUAGCGGGUGACAGCCCCGUAUGCGAAAGUGAUGUUAGAAGACUAGAGUAGGGCGGGACACGUGUAAUCCUGUCUGAAUAUAGGGGGACCACCCUCUAAGCCUAAAUACUCGUAUGCGACCGAUAGCGAACUAGUACCGUGAGGGAAAGGUGAAAAGCACCCCGAUGAGGGGAGUGAAACAGUACCUGAAACGGAUUGCCUACAAGCAGUUGGAGCCUCUUUAUGGGGUGACAGCGUACCUCUUGCAUAAUGGGUCUGUGACUUAAUGUACCAAGCAAGCUUAAGCCGAUAGGUGUAGGCGCAGCGAAAGCGAGUCUGAAUAGGGCGACUAAGUUUGGUGUAUUAGACCCGAAACCCGGCGAUCUAGGCAUGACCAGGAUGAAGGUGCGGUAACACGCACUGGAGGUCCGAACCGAUUAACGUUGAAAAGUUACCGGAUGAGUUGUGUUUAGGGGUGAAAGGCCAAUCAAGCCGGGAAAUAGCUGGUUCUCCGCGAAAACUAUUGAGGUAGUGCCUCGGACGAACACCCUAGGGGGUAGAGCACUGGAUGGAUGCGGGGGUCGCGAGAUCUACCAAUUCUAACCAAACUCCGAAUACCUAGGAGUGAUAUCCGGGAGACAGACGGCGGGUGCUAAGGUCCGUCGUCAAAAGGGAAACAGCCCUGACCUACAGCUAAGGUCCCCAAGUCACGUCUAAGUGGGAAAGCAUGUGGGAAUCCCAAAACAACCAGGAGGUUGGCUUAGAAGCAGCCAUCCUUUAAAGAAAGCGUAACAGCUCACUGGUCUAAAUAAGGGUUCCUGCGGCGAAGAUGUAACGGGGCUCAAGACGUGCACCGAAGCUUAGGGUGUGAUCGUUUACGAUCACGCGGUAGCGGAGCGUUCCGUAAGCCUGUGAAGCGAUCUGGUAAUGGGUCGUGGAGGUAUCGGAAGUGCGAAUGCAGACAUGAGUAGCGAUAAAAAGGGUGAGAUGCCCUUUCGCCGAAAGACCAAGGGUUCCUGCGCAAGGCUAAUCCGCGCAGGGUGAGCCGGCCCCUAAGACGAGCCCGAAGGGGGUAGUCGAUGGGAACCACGUUAAUAUUCGUGGGCCUGGUGGUGUGUGACGGAUGACGUGUGUUGUAUGCUCUUAUCGGAUUGAGCAUGCUUCGAAGUUGUCCCGGGAAAUAGCCCCACCGUAUAGACCGUACCCGAAACCGACACAGGUGGUCAGGUAGAGUAUACCAAGGCGCUUGAGAGAAGUGUCCUGAAGGAACUCGGCAAAUUGCCUCCGUACCUUCGGAAGAAGGAGGCCCUCAUUUUGCGCAAGCAGAUUGAGGGGGCACAGGCCAGGGGGUAGCGACUGUUUAGCAAAAACACAGGGCUCUGCUAAGUCGGCUUCAAGACGACGUAUAGGGCCUGACGCCUGCCCGGUGCCUGAAGGUUAAGUGGAGGGGUGCAAGCUCCGAAAUGAAGCCCAGGUAAACGGCGGCCGUAACUAUAACGGUCCUAAGGUAGCGAAAUUCCUUGUCGGGUAAGUUCCGACCUGCACGAAUGGCGUAACGACUUCCCCACUGUCUCCAGGACAUGCUCAGCGAAAUUGAAUUCUCCGUGAAGAUGCGGAGUACCCGCGGUUAGACGGAAAGACCCCGUGCACCUUUACUGCAGCUUCAGAGUGGCAUUAGGAUAGAACUGUGUAGCAUAGGUGGGAGGCUUUGAAGCAUUGGCGCCAGCCGGUGUGGAGCCAUAGGUGAAAUACCACCCUGUUAUGUUCUGAUGUCUAACCACGCACCGUUAUCCGGUGCUGGGACCCUCUGUGGCGGGUAGUUUGACUGGGGCGGUCGCCUCCUAAAGAGUAACGGAGGCGCGCGAAGGUUGGCUCAGGCCGGUUGGAAACCGGCUGUUAGAGUGCAAUGGCAUAAGCCAGCCUGACUGCGAGACUGACAAGUCGAGCAGAGACGAAAGUCGGUCAUAGUGAUCCGGU